UACGUAGGGUGCAAGCGUUAAUCGGAAUUACUGGGCGUAAAGCGUGCGCAGGCGGUUCGCUAAGACAGAUGUGAAAUCCCCGGGCUUAACCUGGGAACUGCAUUUGUGACUGGCGGGCUAGAGUAUGGCAGAGGGGGGUAGAAUUCCACGUGUAGCAGUGAAAUGCGUAGAGAUGUGGAGGAAUACCGAUGGCGAAGGCAGCCCCCUGGGCCAAUACUGACGCUC
rnacentral:rRNA from 1 species